GGGGUUUUAAUCUUUGUGCUAAGGCAUAAGCAAGUAAUUUAGCAUCAUAGUUUAAAAGAGUAAUAGGUCUAUAAUUGUCUAGAGAAAAGGGAUCAUUCUUUUUAUAAAUUAGAGAUAUUAAGCCAACUUUCUGAGUGUUAGAUAGUUCUCUUUUUUCAUAGCAGUAAUUAAAAGUGGAGACUAUAAAAGAUUUAAGUUCAUCCCAGAAUGUUCUGUAAAAUUCCACAUUUAGUCCGUCAAGCCCAGGUGCUUUAUUAAGUUUCAUUUUAAAAAUUGCAUCAGUACAUUCAUCAACAGUUAUUUCCCCUUCACAAGAAUUACUUUCACAGUCAGUUAAUUUCUUAUAUUCCUUGAGAGAAUCUAAAUACUUUUUAGUUGCUUCUAUUUCAGGGUUUUUUGUAGAAUAUAAAUUUUUAUAAUAAUUUGCUUCUAAUUUUAAUAUUUUGUCUUGAUCUCUUGUAAUUUGACCUUUAUCAUCAUAUAAUUGGGUUAUUGUUUUUCUACUCUGUCUUGAUUUUUCCAUCCCUAGAAAAUAUGCAGAAUUUUUCUCUCCUUCUUCAACCCAUUUUACCCUUGCUCUUAUUUGAUUCCCUUUUAUUUUUUCGUUAUAGAGUUUUCCUAUUUCAUUUUCUAUAUUAUCUAUUUCUUUUAAUAUAUUAUUGUUGUUUUUAUUAUUGCAUGUAUCAAUAAUAUUAUUUAAUUCUGUUAAAUUUUUUUCCAAUUUGCUGAUUAGGUUUUUUUUAUUCUUAGCUUUUGUUUUGCAAUAGCUUAUUGUCUGGUCUCUAACUUCUAUUUUGAAAUUGUCCCACAGUAUGUCAAGAUCUGUUCUUGUUUUAGCUUUGUUUUUAAAUUUUUUAAUUAUUUUCCUAAUUAUUUCAGCAUAGUCUUCAUUUUGAAGUACACUGCUGUUUAAUUUCCAGUAUCCUUUUCCUUUUUGGCCUCUGUUUAAAUUUAUUUUUAAAGAAACACAGUUGUGGUCUGUGUAUUGUAAUACUAUUGGUCUAAUGUCACAUGAAACACAGUUUUUGAAUACUUCUGGAGCUAUUAAAAAAUAAUCUAUUCGUGUUGACUCUGACCUAUCUUUUCUGCUCCAUGUAAAUUGAACUUUAUUUGGAUUUUUGGUUCUCCACACAUCAUUGAGUUUUAGGGACUUUAUAAGUUUAUUUAAAUUGUGAACUUUUUUCCUAUUUUUUUGUUGUUUAGUUUUACUUUUUGAAUCAAUUUGAGAUAAAAUUUCAUUAUGAUCUCCUCCUAAAAUAAG
rnacentral:lncRNA from 1 species